GAAAUGCGAUAAGUAAUGUGAAUUGCAGAAUUCCGUGAAUCAUCGAAUCUUUGAACGCAGAUUGCGCCCUCUCGCAUUCCGGGGGGCAUGCCUGUCCGAGCGUCAUUACGCACCCUCAAGCCCGGCUUGUGUGAUGGGCCCUGGCGUCUCGUUCGCGAGACGGGCCCGAAAGGCAGCGGCGGCGUCGACCCGAUGAGCCCGAGCGUAUGGGGACUUUUGUCACACGUUUGCGGUGCGGACCGGCGCCUGCUUGACUUUUCUGAUUAUCCAGGUUGACCUCGGAUCAGGUAGGGAUACCCGCUGAACUUAAGC
rnacentral:misc_RNA from 1 species